CACAGAGACUAACACAGACAUGUAUAUGCUCAUUAUUGCUGUUCAAACUGAUGUUCAAAUUUCCAAGCACCACCUGAACGCCUCAUUUAUUUUUAACCCAUCACUGGACCAACUGUCAUCAUUCCGCUUUGCUCUCUGCUGUGGAACUUGACUGACAUCUGUGCUUUGCCUGUGUGCAGAAGAACAAGGACCAGAUCUCCAGUCUUCUCUGUCACAUCCCAACCCCCAUC